rnacentral:rRNA from 1 species
CCCUUAGAUGUUCUGGGCCGCACGCGCGCUACACUGAUGCAUUCAACAAGUUUCUUCCUGGUCCGAGAGGAAUGGGUAACCUUUUGAAAGUGCAUCGUGAUAGGGAUAGACUAUUGCAAUUAUUGGUCUUCAACGAGGAAUUCCUAGUAGACGUAGUUCAUCAGACUGCAUCGAUUACGUCCCUGCCCUUUGUACACACCGCCCGUCGCUCCUACCGAUUGAAUGCUCAGGUGAGCCAUUCGGACUUUCAUCAUGCUGGUUUCCAGUUUUGAUGAAGGAAAGUCUUGCGAACCUUAUCAUUUAGAGGAAGGAGAAGUCGUAACA